UACGGAGGAUGCGAGCGUUAUCCGGAUUUAUUGGGUUUAAAGGGUGCGCAGGCGGCGCGCCAAGUCAGCGGUCAAAGUUCCGGGCUCAACCCGGUGUCGCCGUUGAAACUGGCGUGCUCGAGUGCGUGCGAGGAAGGCGGAAUGCGUUGUGUAGCGGUGAAAUGCAUAGAUAUGACGCAGAACUCCGAUUGCGAAGGCAGCUUUCCAGCGCGCUACUGACGCUGAGGCACGAAAGCGUGGGGAUCGAACAGG
rnacentral:rRNA from 1 species